AUGUGGCCCGAUCGAAGCCGUCUGCAGUGCUAUACUGUACGUCAGUCAAAACGCGGCCGAAAUAAAAGUUUGUCGUUAUGGUCGCAUUGUUGUAUACUUUUUACGAUGGUGCAUUACCCACGACAAAGACAAUU